rnacentral:rRNA from 1 species
UGUGGGUAGGGGUGAAAGGCCAAUCAAACUCCGUGAUAGCUGGUUCUCCCCGAAAUGCAUUUAGGUGCAGCGUCGCGUGUUGCCCGGCGGAGGUAGAGCUACUGGGUGGCUGAUGGGCCCCACAGGGUUACUGACGUCAACCAAACUCCGAAUGCCGUCGGGUUGUAGCGUGGCAGUGAGACCGCGGGGGAUAAGCUCCGUGGUCGAGAGGGAAACAGCCCAGAUCGCCGGCUAAGGCCCCUAAGCGUGUGCUAAGUGGGAAAGGAUGUGCGGUCGCGCAGACAACCAGGAGGUUGGCUUAGAAGCAGCCAUCCUUGAAAGAGUGCGUAAUAGCUCACUGGUCAAGUGAUCGUGCGCCGACAAUGUAGCGGGGCUCAAGCACACCGCCGAAGCCGCGGACCCAUGACGUUGUUCCCUUCACCGUGCGCCUUGUGCGUGUGGUGGCAGGGGUUGUGGGUGGUAGGGGAGCGUCCUGCACCGGGGGAAGCCUGUGGGUGACUGCUGGUGGACGGUGCGGGAGUGAGAAUGCAGGCAUGAGUAGCGAUACUAGGGUGAGAAGCCCUAGCGCCGAAUGACCAAGGGUUCCAGGGCCAGGCUAGUCCGCCCUGGGUGAGUCGGGACCUAAGGCGAGGCCGACAGGCGUAGUCGAUGGAUGACGGGUUGAUAUUCCCGUACCGGCGAAGCACCGCCCAUGCUGACGCGCGGGUGCUAACCCACGCCCAGCUGCCAUACAGGCCGCAUGUGUCAGGUUCGCCUGACGGUGUGGUUGUGGUGGUGGGGUCUGGGGAUCCUCCGUGCAGGUAGGCAAGCGUGUUAACAGGGGUGACGCACAGUGGUAGCCCGGCGGACCUGAUGGCUUGGUCCGUUCAAGCGCGCAGCCCGUCCUCCAGGUAAAUCCGGGGGACUGUCUUUGAUGACGGGGGUGAGGCGUGAUGGUGACCUCACACUGGUGGGGGAUAACAGGGUGAUCCUGGGGUGCCGAGAAAAGCCUCGACGCGAUGGUGCCAGCCGCCCGUACCCUAAACCGACACAGGUGGUCGGGCAGAGUAUGCCUAGGCGCACGAGUGAAUCAUGGUUAAGGAACUCGGCAAAAUGCCCCCGUAACUUCGGGAGAAGGGGGGCCUGAUCCCUGAAGCCCCGUUGCGGGCUAGGGGGGAGGGUCGCAGAGGCCAGGGGGAAGCGACUGUUUACUAAAAACACAGGUCCGUGCGAAGCCGUAAGGCGAUGUAUACGGACUGACGCCUGCCCGGUGCUGGAAGGUUAAGAGGAACCAUCAACCUUCGGGUGAAGCGGUGAAUUUAAGCCCCAGUAAACGGCGGUGGUAACUAUAACCAUCCUAAGGUAGCGAAAUUCCUUGUCGGGUAAGUUCCGACCUGCACGAAUGGCGUAACGACUUCCCCGCUGUCUCAACCAUGAGCUCGGCGAAAUUGCAGUACGAGUAAAGAUGCUCGUUUCGCGCAGAAGGACGGAAAGACCCCGGGACCUUUACUA